CAGCCAGCACAGCUCCUCAGGUCUCAGGCAACACGAUUCGGUGCCUCAGUGAGCGGACGCAGCUGGCGGUGUGGAAGAACGUGGGUGCCGGGAACAACUCUCGCGUCAUGCAUUACGUGUUUGAGCCGGUGGCAGGGCGCGGGGGGACGGCCAGCUCUGUUCUACACCUUCACCGCAUGAUUCUACGCAACGGGAACCUGGAGAAGCUGGACAUCUACGACAUUAGCAGGGACGAGUUCAGAAACCUACGAUCAACCUAUACCUUCUCCCUCUUCGGCGGCACGACCAACAAGCUCAUGAACAAGUUUAGGACCCGGGAGCAGAGGACUGACCGCCGCUGCAAGAGGAAGAAGCGCUGUUCCGUGCGAGUCCCGAGCCUGGACCGCAUAUUGAAGGUCCGGCCCGCCACGAUGAGGGUCCGCUGCGCCAGGGGGGAGCGGGAGAUCUGAAGGGGGAGCAGCAGCAGAAGGAGCAGGGCGCUGAAGAAGUAGGAAGUGGAGUUGAUGAUGAUGGUGAGGGUGACACGAGAGGUGGUGGAGGAUGGUGCGGGUCCUCUCCUCCUCCUCCUCCUCCUUCGCCGCUUCCUCCUCCGCUUCUUCCUUUUCCUCCUCCGCCUCCUCCUCCACUACCAGCGAGGAGGUCCAGUAGGAGGAGAAGGUGAAAAAGGUGGAAGUGGAGGUGGAGGAAAAGGAGGAAGAGCAAGAAUCGAAAGAGAGGAAGAAGGAGGAAGAGGAGGAGGAGGAGGAGGAAGAGGAGGAGGAAGACGAGGCGAAGAAGAAGAAGAAGAAGAAGAAGAAGAAGAAGACAAUGAAGAAAAAGAAGAAAGAAAAAAGGAAUCGAUGAAGCAGCAGCAGCAGAAAGGAAGACGAGAGAGAGAGAGAGAGAGAGAGAGAGAGAGAGAGAGAGAGAGAGAGAGAGAGAGAGAGAAACAGACAGACAGACAUAGACAAGAGUUUUUCGGCCCCAACGAGAGGAGGCUGCCUGCUGUAGUAGUAACCUAGGCUACUUGACUCCCACGAAUCUUUACCGCUAGUCUUGUAGGUAGAGAGAACACGGACCCGGGCCCCCCCCCCUCCCCUCUCUCCACCCUCCCCCCUAUCUAGGACACACUACCCCCCACCCUCCCCCACCAACAAGACCUGACACAAGCCAACGUAUGAACUUGUUAGAGGGAGCGUGUGUGUCCUCAGAGCAGAGAUUACAUUGAGGUCAGGUACGCAAAAAAAAAGUUCAGUUCAGGUACGCAAAAAAAAAUGUUCAGUUCAGGUACGCAAAAAAAAAAUGUUCAGUUCUGUUCAGUUGCGUAGAUCAGAGGAAGAAAAUUUUACGCCAGAGAUUACAUUGAGUUCAGGUAUGGAAAAAAAUUAUCCCUUGUCAAAAUCAAUCCUCAAUGAUCAUGUUUGAUUUCUUAUAUCUCAGGAAAACUAAGUCAUUCAAGAAAACGCUCGUUCACUACUUAAUCAACCGUUCUCCUGUUGCCAUAUAUAUACUCUCCUAACAUUAAAACCUCCUGGAAGACCAUAGGAAAGAAUGUAGAGGUCAAAACAACUGUGAAAAUAAGACUGGGGGAACUCACGCGGCGACGGGCGGUGGAGUAGCCUAAUCAGUCCCGCGGUAGCCAAAACCCGCGGCUCACCACACCUAAAAUCCAACAGCCUCCCCCAACCCCAGAUGAAGAGCACUAAAAGACAGGUGGAUAUACAUGAACCUCAAUAUUGGAGUUUUUUACACAGAUAACAGCACUUGACUUACUUCCUCAGUCUUGGGAAGUGACUAAUAACUCAUAGUGUUGCCCUGCGACUAGGAAAACUCCAGACAGAGGGACCACUCAGCACCGUUUUGAGAGUUCCCGCUUCUUCCAUAUUUGCACAUAUUCUCAUUCCUGACAUGCGUACUAACUGGUAGGGUGCGUGCAGACUGGCGGACACACACCCUCCCAAACACAUACACGGGAUUUAUCUUUGCACACACGAGUCGGAAGAGGAAGUUUUCUGUGCCACACGCUAACAUAACUUCCGGGUGAACGAAGGAACUCUUCAUCAACAGCGAGGAGUUCCGGUAUUGUCCACUCCGGCGCGUCCGACAAAACACUGAUCGCAAGACGGCAACAGCAGCAGCUCAGUCACGUCAGUUCCUUUAGCCUAUGUUUGCUACGACACGUUUUCUUUGACAUACUUCUGGUCUUAUGAGAAAAAAUGGGAUCAGAUAAACUUUUUAAUCACAAACAUCAUAUAAUCACACUGUGCUGCCUGGGGGUUGGGAUGGCAUGUUCCUCCCUUCUCCUUUGUUGUUUACUUGCAACAAUAAACUAUCAAUCAAUCAACCAAUCAAUCAUAACUGGUAGAUAAUGAUCGAAAGAAUGAUAUCGCAGCGGCCCUAUUCAAGCUGUCACGAUAAACGAGUUGUGAGUAAAGGAAGGAAUGGUUGGUUGGUGGAUACAAUGAGAGACGAAACGCUUGGUCUUAGUCUUGGCUUGGAAGUAGGUUAGGUUAGGUUAGGGUCGGUUAGGUAUGUGUGUGGACGCAAAUGUCUAACCUAACCUAACCUACUCCAUCCAAGACCGAGAGUUUCGACCAUCCCUGCAUCCAUUUUAGCACAGGUCGUAAGGGAACCAAGCUGCUGCCGUCACGUGAUCACUGCUAGAAGGGAUACAACAAUGGACAAAACGCUUGGUCUUAAAUCUUGGUAUUGGUCUAGGGAAGUAGGUUAGAUUUCUAUGUGGACGCAAAUAUCUAACCUAACUUAACCUGCUCGAUCAUUGUUGCAUCCCUUGUAGCCCUGGUCGUAAAGAAACAAAGCUGCUGCCGUUGGGUGAUCAGUACUUUUGACAGAGACGCUGGAACUGCAAUAUAAGUUCACAAUAUGAGACCCCAUGACUGGAGACCUGACCAGUGAUGUCUCGUGAUGACUGAUGACGAGCGAGUGCGUGGGGGAGUAACUUUUUAUGUGUCUAGGGCAUGGAGAGGUCGCCUACCAAACAUGUAACAUAAGAACGACAGAUGCCGCCAAUCAAGUGUCGUCCUGUCGUCCAGCAUAUAUACACAGCGGUGACCUUGACUGAGUUCGCCGUCGUCGUCGUUCUCGCAUUCAACUCUCCCGCGGGAUGCUUGUUCCAGCGCCCGACAACUCGAGUAAAUAAGUUUUUCGUUUUUUCUUCUCUUCUGCCAGUGUCGGUGUCGUCUCGUUUCUCGCUUUAGUUGGCAGACCGCAUUUCUCGUUCUCUCGCGCUGGUGGUUGUUGAGUUUGACGUGGAACUCGGAGUGAUCAUCGUUGUCAGUGUUGUUGUGCAGGUGUGUCAAAACCUGCGUCAUGUAUCCUUUUAGUCUUCUGUUUUUUGCUAAGGGAUGAAGGGUGGAAUGCUCUCCUUGUAAGCCCUGAUAUCCUCACUGAUGGAGACGGUUGUGUGGGGCGAAGAAAGAGAAGGAGGAGGAGGAGGAGGAGGAGGAGCAGGAGGAGGAGGAGGAGUCAGUAUGUACAAUGAUGGGAAGCCAAACAGUGAUGUAGAAGCAUGACUGAAGACAAACAAUGUGUAAAUAUGGAGAAAUAAAACAGAGAGGUGAAUAGAAGAAAAUGAACAAGACAAUAGGAGGACGUUCGAUAGUUUGGUGUUGUGAUGAAAUUACUAAGAAUCAGAUCAAUUAUUAGAAAAAAAAUACGGAAAAUUAUGAAACUCGGACAUAAAAAAGAGACGGACACAAACUUUCAUGUGUUGUGCCAAGAGAAAUAAAAAUAAUCUGAAAAGAACUGAUAGACAAAGGAAAAUUAUGGACCCGAGUGGCAUUAGUAAUAUAUGAAAAAAGAUUAAACAUUUUAAGAAAGAAAAAAAAUACAAAAGUAUGUGAAAAUUUUGACCAAGAUACAGGAGAAAAAACAUUCAUCAAAGCUUAUGAAAAAUAUAUAUUUAUAAAAAGAAAAAUAUAUGUAAAUUGUACAAUAGAGGAACAAAAUACAACCAGAAAAAAUAACGAAGGAAACUAAAAGACAGGUGUGGAAAAAGGUGGAAAGCGGAUGUGAGUGGAUGUGAAAGGAUGUGGGAAGAAUGUGAGUGAUAAAUAAAAUAAAAAAAUAAAUAAAAACUAAAUAUUCUUAAAGUUCAGUGUGUAGCAAGGCCUGUAGAGGCAGGUGUAAGUGUCUUUUCCCUCUGUCUUUUCCUUACUUCGUUAGAGUACGACAAAACAUCAAAUCUGGGACAAGUGGAGUCUUGGCGCCGAUAAGACCCUGGAGCCGGUGCGCGAAGAGGGGAGUGUGAAGGCCGCGUCACGGGCUUGCCGCGGAGGCGGGCGACAGACCUGCUGCGGCGCCACCCUCAGGAGGAGGCGCCCUCCGUGGCCAGCGGCUCUUCACAAGGAGAAGAGACCGGUGCUAUUCACCCUUCGUGGACCCCCGUCUCCUAUAAAUCGACUUCAGCAACUGGGGCAGCUUUAAAACCGUCCCUGCACCCCGCAUCUACACCCUACAUCCGCCGUCUCGGUGUAGCCCUAACUACGAAUCUGCAGGCCCGGGUUCGUAUUUCGGACUGGACAGUCUGCGCGCAGCCCACCCACCUGUUCAUCCUCUUUCUGGCUGGUCUAUAAACGGAUGUUUGGGCCAACCUGGGCAAGGAAAACUCUGGUAACCCGGAUGUCACACUGACCUGGUCUUCUGGGCUCUUGCCCACCACAGGCGCCGACACAACGCGGAGCUACAGGUUAUGUCCUCAACUGUGCCCAUACCUUAUACUCACACCCUGAAACCACUAGGUUGCUACCGUUCCAGCAAUAUGGCUACCACGUGUGCAGCGGCAACCACGGGUGAGGGCAACAACGACCAUCAGCUGCCCCAGCCCCUCCACCUAUACAGACCCCAGCGCCUCUUGCGACCCGCCAGGGCACCGCAAUGAAGUUCCAAGCCCUGGCCUGGGUCCCACCUAUGCAACGAACAAACGUGCCACCUCUGCCCCGCCCCACACCCGCCGGCUUGGCCUUCACACCUACGGUUACGCGAUUUCGGAAUGAAGAUCGUUCUGGGGUUUGCUAAAUUGCUGGAGGCAGCGCCGUGAGCCACCCCGUUCAUCGCAAGAGUAGUAAAAGGUGUGACAAAACAUCAAGGUAAAGUUGACGCUCUUGGCCGCUGCCUCCACCUUAAAAGCAUCGCUCAAGAAGCCUCCCGGCCUCCCGCCUCCAUGACGCCGCAUCCACCUCCCAGCCACCACUGGUCAGAACCAAGACAAGCCGCUGCAAAGUUCUCCGCCACUGACUCUUCACAAAAAGAGGUCGACUACGACUCCAACGACUCCAUCUCAGCCCUGCCUCCACCUCCCUGGCGAGAUGAAACAACUCUGAGCGUGCAGCAGAACCACUGACUAAACUAAAACCCCGUGACACGCCCUGGCUGUGGGAAACCCUGCUGAAGAAGAAGAAGAAGAAGAAGAAGAAGAAGAAGAAGAAGAAGAAGAAGAAAACAUGUAUCUCAAAAAAAAAACUCAAAUAACACUGAAUUCUCACUCCCGGAUACCACCGCCGAGGAUUUGCACGCGUCUCCCUCCACCCCCGCCCCCUCCCCGUGGCUGUGGACUACUAUUUGGACGACAGACUGGGCGGCACCGUCACCUGUGUCUCGCCGCCCACCUAUCUUGGCUCUCCCGUCCCCGCCACCCUGACCCCCGAGGUGCUGACCACUCCUCGCCGCGGGACAGAAGGGAUCAGCGGGAAAUAAAUGAGUGAGAGAAGGAAGCACGAAAGGAUGUAUAAAGGAAAGGAAAAUAUGGAGAGGAGGAAGGAAGGUAGAAUGGAGAUAAAGAAGAAAGGCAGGAAGUAAAAACGAGGGAGGAGUAAGUGUAAGAAAGGAAAGAGUAGAACGGGAGGGAAAAAAGGAGAAAAGGAAGGCAAGAAGGGAGGAUAGAAGGAAAAGUAGACAUGGCGGAGAUUUUCCUUCAGAGGUGGACUUGCGGACUUGGCGUCAUUGCUAGAGUGACGGUCUCCGCGCCGCUCAUUGGCUGUUGUUUACUACAAAGACUUAGUUUACUAGAUCUACGCUCCGGCAAUUUUGUUUGCCAUGACAGAGCCUACUAUCUCUCGAUCUCUGCUACCUCUUAAAAUCAACACUAUGUAGUUAUUCUUAUAAUCGCUCUUCCUUAUGGCUAUUUAUUAGUUUAUUACCCACAAAUAUUAGAAACAUAUUUCAGGAAUAAUGAUAGGACGGACGAUGAAAGAAAUGAGAAGGUUCUUGCCUUAGCCCAAUGUUUCCGUUACGACUCCUUAGCAUAAACACAUUGUGACUAAGCCAGGCCUAAAAUAUACCAAGAAAUCUUAUAAUAAAUGAGUUCAUUAGACUGAAGCCUAGCACUUUGUAGUAGUUAAAACUAGUAAAACGUCUAGAUUCAACGUACAGUCGCUGGACAUUGUCCGUUUACGUGUAGUUCUGACUUAGUUUUGUUAUGAAUGUCGUUUCAGAUUAAUUUAUAAUAGUUCAAAAGGCACAUACUUAUCAAUAAAUAAUUGCAAUAGUUUUUAUCGGUGCAAUCUGUUACCUUACAACUCACAAAGGUUUUGGUAGGAAUACAAAGUCAAUUUUAUGUGCAUCAGAACAAGUUAAGAAUUGGCCAAUGAGCGCGCAGUACAAUCACCCAUGCAAUGAUACCAAGUCCGCGAGUCCAACCCUGAAGGAAAAUCUCCGCCAGCUCUCGUGGAACCGACUAUAGUAAGGUAGCUAAUAAAAAGUUUAAAAAAAAAAGUAAAAUGUAUAAGGAAGAGACAGACAGACAAGAUCGUGAGGGAAAAUAAUGGAAAACAGAAAGGAAGGAGAGACGGAGGAAAAGAAGGUAGCAAAAAAAGUAAAAAAAUAAAUAUAAAAGUAAAUGUGUGAAGUAAACACAGACAGACAAGAUCGGGAGGGAAAAUAAUGGAUCAAAGAAAGGAAUGAAGGAAAGAAAGGUGGAGGAAAAGAAGUAAGAUAGCAAGCAUAAGGUAAAAAGCAUAGGUAAAAUUUGUAAGGUAAAUAAUAAAAAGUAAAAAAAAAGUAAAAUGAAUAAGAGAGACAGACAGAAGAAUGGGAGGGAAAAUAAUGGAGCAAAGAAAGGAAGGAAGGAAGGAAAGAUGGAGGAAAAGAUGUAAGAUAGCAAAUAUAAGGUAAAAAGCAUAGGUAAAAUUUGUAAGGUAGCUAAUGUAUAAGGUAGAGACAGACAGAAGAUUGGGAGGGAAAAUAAUGGAGCAAAGAAAGGAAGGAAGGAAGGAAAGAUGGAGGAAAUGAUGUAAGAUAGCAAAUAUAAGGUAAAAAGCAUAGGUAAAAUUUGUAAGGUAGCUAAUGUAUAAGGUAGAGACAGACAGAAGAUUGGGAGGGAAAAUAAUGGAGAAAAGGAAGGAAGGAAGGAUGGAUGAAGGAAAAGAAGCAUCCCAGAAGUAAUCAGCACCUUGGCGGCCAGGUAACCAGAGACGAAAGAGCACAGACAAACGAGCAGCGAGAUAUAAAUGAUUUCGCCGCCCAUCCCACCCCUCAAAUGUUAGCAGUCUACGAACACGGGGACAGCCACAGGGGGGAGGGGGAUGAGGAGGAAACCCGUGUGGAGGAAAGGGAGGAGGAGGAAAAGAAACCGGAAGAAGGAAGGAUGAAAGCGAGAAGGAAAGAAAGGGGAAAGAGGGAGAGAGAGAGAAAAGAAGGGAAGAGAGAGACAGAGAAAAGAAGGGAAGAGAGAGACAGAGAAAAGAAGGGAAGAGAGAGAGAAAAGAAGGGAAGAUGAAAGUGAGAAGGAAAGAAAGGGGAAAGAGGGAGAGAGAGAGAGAAAAGAAGAGAAAAGAAAGAGAGAUGAAAAGAAGAUGAAGAAAAGAAAGAAGAAAGAGAAGAUAGAGAAUCGUGCAUACCUUCUAUCUCCUCUGCAAAGUUUCCAGAGGGGGAGAAUCAUAUGUUUUGGCGGGGUUUUAUUUUUUUUAUUUAUUUAUUUAUUUUUUUUUUUGUGUGUGUGUGUGAUAUGCUUGAUUGUGACUCUUGUUGAUGAGACGAAAGAAAGAAAGACAGGAAAAACAUGACAAAAGAGAAAACAACAACAGAAGGAAGUGAGAAAUGACAAAAUAUAUAAGAGAGGAAAAUAAACAUACAGAUAUUAGGAAAAAAAACAGCAGAUUCUUGUUCAGGACACGAAAGAAAGAAAAGGCACAAGGAAAAGAGAAGAAGGGCAAGAAAGAAAAGACAAGGGAAAGAAGGAGAGGAGAGUAAACAUACGGUAUAGUAAAAAAAAAAAAAAAAGGCGAAUAGAUAGAAAGAAGAAAUAGAAAAAUAAGAGAAAAUGAGAAAAUUCGCUAAUCCCUCGAAUUUGAACCUUCCUAAAAAUAAUAAUAAAAAGGAAAUAAGUGAGAGAAGGAGAGAAUAGACCGAAGAAAGUAGUGAAUGAGGCAAAUAAUAAUAAAAAAAAACAGAAACACAGAAGGAGGAGGCGAAGAAAAAAUGGAGAAAAAAAGGAAAGAAGGAAGGAAAAAAAUGAAAGUGACGAAAUAAAGAAUGAAAAAUAACUUACUGUACAUUUAGUUAGUUAUUGUAUCCAUCAAGAAUGAAGGUAUUAAAAAGUUGUAUGAGUCACCUCGAUGUAUUUUUAUUUAUUUUACUUAGUCUCUCUCUCUCUCUCUCUCUCUCUCUCUCUCUCUCUCUCUAUCUAUCUAUCUAUCUACUUAUCUAUCUAUCUAUCUAUCUAUUUCUAUCUAUCUAUAUAUAAGCGAAGGGUAGAGGAGAGCAAUAGAUUUUUUUGUGUGUGUGUGUGUAUAUGUAUCGUCCAUGUGUGUGUGUGUGUGUGCGUGUGUUACCCUCCAUCUAGUCAGUGUACUCAGCAGUCAUUACUCAAAGGAACGAAGGAAAAGAAAAA